rnacentral:rRNA from 1 species
AUUGAACGCUGGCGGCAGGCCUAACACAUGCAAGUCGAGCGAGCGGCGGACGGGUGAGUAAUGUCUGGGAAACUGCCCGAUGGAGGGGGAUAACUACUGGAAACGGUAGCUAAUACCGCAUACCAUCAGAUGUGCCCAUAUGGGAUUAGCUAGUUGGUGGGGUAAUGGCUCACCAAGGCGACGAUCCCUAGCUGGUCUGAGAGGAUGACCAGCCACACUGGAACUGAGACACGGUCCAGACUCCUACGGGAGGCAGCAGUGGGGAAUAUUGCACAAUGGGCGCAAGCCUGAUGCAGCCAUGCCGCGUGUAUGAAGAAGGCCUUAGGGUUGUAAAGCACUUUCAGAGGGGAGGCGUUACCCGCAGAAGAAGCACCGGCUAACUCCGUGCCAGCAGCCGCGGUAAUAC